ACUCCUACGGGAGGCAGCAGUGGGGAAUCUUGCGCAAUGGGCGAAAGCCUGACGCAGCCAUGCCGCGUGAAUGAUGAAGGUCUUAGGAUUGUAAAAUUCUUUCACCGGGGACGAUAAUGACGGUACCCGGAGAAGAAGCCCCGGCUAACUUCGUGCCAGCAGCCGCGGUAAUACGAAGGGGGCUAGCGUUGCUCGGAAUUACUGGGCGUAAAGGGAGCGUAGGCGGACAUUUAAGUCAGGGGUGAAAUCCCGGGGCUCAACCUCGGAAUUGCCUUUGAUACUGGGUGUCUUGAGUAUGAGAGAGGUGUGUGGAACUCCGAGUGUAGAGGUGAAAUUCGUAGAUAUUCGGAAGAACACCAGUGGCGAGGCGACACACUGGCUCAUUACUGACGCUGAGGCUCGAAAGCGUGGGGAGCAAACAGGAUUAGAUACCCUGGUAGCGUCGUC
rnacentral:rRNA from 1 species